rnacentral:rRNA from 1 species
AAGUCGAGCGAAGACUUCGGUCUUAGCGGCGGACGGGUGAGUAACGCGUGGGAACGUGCCUUUCACUACGGAAUAGUCCCGGGAAACUGGGUUUAAUACCGUAUACGCCCUUCGGGGGAAAGAAUUUCGGUGAGAGAUCGGCCCGCGUCUGAUUAGGUAGUUGGUGGGGUAAUGGCCUACCAAGCCGACGAUCAGUAGCUGGUUUGAGAGGAUGAUCAGCCACACUGGGACUGAGACACGGCCCAGACUCCUACGGGAGGCAGCAGUGAGGAAUCUUGGACAAUGGGGGCAACCCUGACGCAGCAACGCCGCGUGUGGGAUGACGGCUUUCGGGUUGUAAACCACUUUCAGUGAUGACGAAAAUGACGGUAAUCACAGAAGAAGGUCCGGCCAACUACGUGCCAGCAGCCGCGGUAACACGUAGGGACCGAGCGUUGUCCGGAUUUAUUGGGCGUAAAGAGCUCGUAGGCGGUUCUGUAAGUCGGAUGUGAAAACUCAGGGCUCAACCCUGAGACGCCAUCUGAUACUGCAGUGACUAGAGUCCGGUAGAGGAAGAUGGAAUUCCUGGUGUAGCGGUGGAAUGCGCAGAUAUCUGGAGGAACAUCAGUGGCGAAGGCGGCUCCCUGGCCAAAGACUGACGCUCAUGUGCGAAAGUGUGGGUAGCGAACAGGAUUAGAUACCCUGGUAGUCCACACCGUAAACGCUGUCUACUAGCUGUUUGUGUAUUUAAUACGUGAGUAGCGAAGCUAACGCGCUAAGUAGACCGCCUGGGGAGUACGGCCGCAAGGUUAAAACUCAAAUGAAUUGACGGGGGCCCGCACAAGCGGUGGAGCAUGUGGUUUAAUUCGAUGCAACGCGAGAACCUUACCUACUCUUGACAUCCAGGAAAUUUUCAGAGAUGAUUAGUACCUUCGGGAUCCUGAGACAGUGCUGCAUGACUGUCGUCAGCUCGUGUCGUGAGAUGUGGUAGUCCCGCACGAGCGCACCCUGUCUAGUGCAGCAUAGUGGGCACUCUAGGAGACUGCGUGACACGAGAGGUGGGACGACGUCAGUCAUCAUGCCUACAGUAGGCUACCACGUGCUACAUUGUCAGUACAAGACGAGACGGGAACUUGGAGGACCUAAGCUGUCGAUCCGAUGGAGGCGACACUGCCCUCUGGAUCGGAGCUCUUUAAAUCAAGGUCAAACUGGGGGGAUGUUUCCGCCGGUGUUAUUACGCUGGUCACAAUGAUUG